AUUGAACGCUGGCGGCAGGCCUAACACAUGCAAGUCGAGCGGCAGCGGGAAAGUAGCUUGCUACUUUUGCCGGCGAGCGGCGGACGGGUGAGUAAUGCCUGGGAAAUUGCCCAGUCGAGGGGGAUAACAGUUGGAAACGACUGCUAAUACCGCAUACGCCCUACGGGGGAAAGCAGGGGACCUUCGGGCCUUGCGCGAUUGGAUAUGCCCAGGUGGGAUUAGCUAGUUGGUGAGGUAAUGGCUCACCAAGGCGACGAUGCCUAGCUGGUCUGAGAGGAUGAUCAGCCAGAAUGGAACUGAGACACGGUCCAGACUCCUACGGGAGGCAGCAGUGGGGAAUAUUGCACAAUGGGGGAAACCCUGAUGCAGCCAUGCCGCGUGUGUGAAGAAGGCCUUCGGGUUGUAAAGCACUUUCAGCGAGGAGGAAAGGUUGAUGCCUAAUACGUAUCAACUGUGACGUUACUCGCAGAAGAAGCACCGGCUAACUCCGUGCCAGCAGCCGCCGUAAAAC
rnacentral:rRNA from 1 species